rnacentral:rRNA from 1 species
CACGUAGGGGGCAAGCGUUGUCCGGAUUUAUUGGGCGUAAAGAGCUCGUAGGCGGUUCGAUAAGUCGGGUGUGAAACCUCCAGGCUCAACCUGGAGACGCCACCCGAUACUGUUGUGACUAGAGUCCGGUAGGGGAGCGUGGAAUUCCUGGUGUAGCGGUGAAAUGCGCAGAUAUCAGGAGGAACACCAGCGGCGAAGGCGGCGCUCUGGGCCGGUACUGACGCUGAGGAGCGAAAGCGUGGGUAGCAAACAGG